UACGGAGGGUGCGAGCGUUGUCCGGAAUCACUGGGCGUAAAGGGCGCGUAGGCGGCCUGAUAAGUAGGGGGUGAAAUCCUGCGGCUUAACCGCAGGGCUGCCUUCUAAACUGUCAGGCUAGAGCGCGGUAGAGGCAGAUGGAAUUCCCGGUGUAGCGGUGGAAUGCGUAGAGAUCGGGAAGAACAUCAGUGGCGAAGGCGGUCUGCUGGGCCGUUGCUGACGCUGAGGCGCGACAGCGUGGGGGAGCAAACAGG
rnacentral:rRNA from 1 species